rnacentral:rRNA from 1 species
GACGAACGCUGGCGGCGUGCUUAACACAUGCAAGUCGAACGGAAAGGCCCUGCUUUUGUGGGGUGCUCGAGUGGCGAACGGGUGUGUAACACGUGAGUAACCUGCCCUUGACUUUGGGAUAACUUCAGGAAACUGGGGCUAAUACCGGAUAGGAGCUCCUGCUGCCUGGUGGGGGUUGGAAAGUUUCGGCGGUUGGGGAUGGACUCGCGGCUUAUCAGCUUGUUGGUGGGGUAGUGGCUUACCAAGGCUUUGACGGGUAGCCGGCCUGAGAGGGUGACCGGCCACAUUGGGACUGAGAUACGGCCCAGACUCCUACGGGAGGCAGCAGUGGGGAAUAUUGCACAAUGGGCGGAAGCCUGAUGCAGCAACGCCGCGUGCGGGAUGACGGCCUUCGGGUUGUAAACCGCUUUCGCCUGUGACGAAGCGUGAGUGACGGUAAUGGGUAAAGAAGCACCGGCUAACUACGUG